GUUAGGAAUAUUGGACAAUGGGCGAAAGCCUGAUCCAGCCAUGCCGCGUGAACGAUGAAGGCCUUCGGGUUGUAAAGUUCUUUAGCCGAUGAUUAUAAUGACUGUAGUCGGAAAAUAAGCCCCGGCUAACUUCGUGCCAGCAGCCGCGGUAAUACGAAGGGGGCGAGCGUUAUUCGGAAUCACUGGGCGUAAAGCGUGCGUAGGCGGUCUCGUAAGUUAGGAGUGAAAGCCCAGGGUUCAACCUUGGAAUUGCUCUUAAUACUGCAAGGCUAGAAUCUCGGAGAGGAUAGCGGAAUUUCCAGUGUAGCAGUGAAAUGCGUAGAUAUUGGAAGGAACACCAGUGGCGUAAGCGGCUAUCUGGACGAGUAUUGACGCUGAGGCACGAAAGCGUGGGGAUCAAACAGGAUUAGAUACCCCGGUAGUCC
rnacentral:rRNA from 1 species